rnacentral:lncRNA from 10 species
CUCAGCCUCAUUUUACCUGGCCCCUACUCAAGAUGGGGUUGCUCUGGUUCAAACGCCUCUGACAGGGUGACAACUGUGACCACAACAGAUUCACAAACAUGACAUUUUCAGAGAGAGGAAGCCUCCCCUGCUCUUAGUCUAUGUGAUUCGGACACAGCCAACUACAUUUCCCAGAUCCAGAAAUGAACACGCCAUUCCAAGUAAAGCCAAUGAGAGACAGCUGCAGGACUUUUGCUGGAACUAUUGGGAAAGUGGUGUUUCUUUUUCUGCUAUGGUUACUUAUCUGCUAUGCUCUAAGCCUGGAACUGCUGGAGGUCAUCUUUGCUGCAUGAAAAUGAAGUCAAUAUUGAGGACAGCAGAGAUGUGGACCCUGAGACCAGGGAGGUUGCGUGGCAUCAUUACAUCAGAAGGGGAGUGGUCUGAAUCCACUCCUCCCCUUCCAGGGCAGGAAGUCAACAGAGAAGGGCUCUGUGGUGGUUGUGCUCACCCCGCAUCAAGGUUGCUAAGCUGCUGUGAUGGAAUCCUGGAGCUGCUGAAGGACACCUCAUCUCUUUGUGGGAAGCAUCUGCUUGAGGAUUAAGGGAAUGCAGAAAAAAAGUGGAGUAGAGAGAUGGAGGAAGAUGACUUUCGAGGACAUUGUGUGAGCACCUGGAUCUAACUGUGCCUGAAGCAAAACUCAAACCCUGGACUCUCAAUGUAUUGGCUCUCAG